CCUACGGGGGGCUGCAGUCGAGAAUCAUUCACAAUGGGGGAAACCCUGAUGGUGCGACGCCGCGUGGGGGAAUGAAGGUCUUCGGAUUGUAAACCCCUGUCAUGUGGGAGCAAAUUAAAAAGAUAGUACCACAAGAGGAAGAGACGGCUAACUCUGUGCCAGCAGCCGCGGUACUACAGAGGUCUCAAGCGUGGUUCGGAAUCACUGGGCGUAAAGCGUGCGUAGGCUGUUUCGUAAGUCGUGUGUGAAAGGCGCGGGCUCAACCCGCGGACGGCACAUGAUACUGCGGGACUAGAGUAAUGGAGGGGGAACCGGAAUUCUCGGUGUAGCAGUGAAAUGCGUAGAUAUCGAGAGGAACACUCGUGGCGAAGGCGGGUUCCUGGACAUUAACUGACGCUGAGGCACGAAGGCCAGGGGAGCGAAAGGGAUUAGAUACCCGGGUAGUC
rnacentral:rRNA from 1 species